UACGGGGGGGGCAAGCGUUGUUCGGAAUUACUGGGCGUAAAGGGCUCGUAGGCGGCCAACUAAGUCAGACGUAAAAUCCCCAGGCUCAACCUGGGAACUGCGUCUGAUACUGGAUGGCUUGAAUUCGGGAGAGGGAUGCAGAAUUCCAGGUGUAGCGGUGAAAUGCGUAGAUAUCUGGAGGAAUACCGGUGGCGAAGGCGGGUCCCUGGACAACACCUGACACUGAGGCACGAAAGCCGGGGGAGCAAACAGG
rnacentral:rRNA from 1 species